AUUGAACGCUGGCGGAAUGCUUUACACAUGCAAGUCGAGCGGCAGCGCGGGGCAACCCUGGCGGCGAGCGGCGAACGGGUGAGUAACAUAUCGGAACGUACCCAGUCGUGGGGGAUAACUAUCCGAAAGGAUAGCUAAUACCGCAUACGUCCUGAGGGAGAAAGCGGGGGAUCGCAAGACCUCGCACGAUUGGAGCGGCCGAUAUCGGAUUAGCUAGUUGGUGGGGUAAAGGCUCACCAAGGCGACGAUCCGUAGCGGGUCUGAGAGGACGACCCGCCACACUGGAACUGAGACACGGUCCAGACUCCUACGGGAGGCAGCAGUGGGGAAUUUUGGACAAUGGGGGCAACCCUGAUCCAGCCAUUCCGCGUGAGUGAAGAAGGCCUUCGGUUGUAA
rnacentral:rRNA from 1 species